rnacentral:lncRNA from 1 species
AUGUGCGCCCCCGGACCCUCACCGAGGGUGGCGGCCAGAGGAGCCCCGGCACCCGGCCUCCUUGCGCUGCUGUUCCUGCUGCUGGUGGCCGCGCCGACGGGACGGGCAGUUCCCUGUGUCUCUGGUGAUCUGCAUAAACCUACAAAUGUCACCUUCAUAUCCAUAAACAUGAAGAAUAUCCUACAGUGGAACCCCCCAGAAGGCUUGCAAGGCAUGGAAGUUAGUUAUACUGUGCAGUAUUUCAUAUAUGGGCAAAAGAAAUGGCUGAAUAAAUCUGAAUGCAGAAAUAUCAGUAGGACCUACUGUGACCUCUCUGCUGAAACUUCUGACUAUGAACAUCAAUAUUAUGCUAAAGUUAAGGCCCUGUGGGGAACAAAUUGUUCCAAAUGGGCAGAAACUGGACGAUUCUAUCCUUUCUUAGAAACACAAAUUGGCCCACCAGAGGUUGCUUUGACUACUGAUGAGAAAUCCAUUUCUAUUGUUCUGACGGCUCCAAAGAAGUGGAAGAAAAAUCCAGAAGAAAGCUCUAUUUCCAUGCAACAAAUAUACUCUAAUCUGAAGUAUAAUGUGUCCAUAUAUAAUACUAAAUCCAAUAGAACGUGGUCCCAGUGUGUGACAAACCACACCCUGGUGUUCAGCUGGCUGGAGCCGGACACUCUGUACUGUGUACUUGUGGAGUCCUUUGUCCCAGGCCCUCCUCGCAUCACUCACCCUUCUGAGAGGCAGUGUGUCAGUACUCUAGAAGAUCAAACAACAGCAUUGGAGGUUAAAAUCAUCCUCUGGUAUGUUUUGCCCAUAUCUGUUACUGUGUUUCUUUUCUCUGUGAUGGGUUACUCCAUGUACAGAUAUAUCCAUGUUGGCAAAGAGAAACACCCAGCAAAUCUGGUUUUGAUUUAUGGAAAUGAAUUUGACAAAAGAUUUUUUGUACCUACUGAAAAAAUUGUGAUUAACUUCAUUACCCUCAAUAUUUUGGAGGAUUCUAAAACUUCUCCCAAGGAUAUAAGUGUAAUGGAAAAAAGCAGUGAUGUGUCAGACCUGAAUGAGCCCAUCGAGGACCAGGAAGCCCACUGGGAGGAUGUGGAGGUGGAACACCUGGGCUAUGUGUCACAUGUGGUGGACACUGUGUAUGACUUUGAGAAAAGCUCCAAAGGGACUUCCUUAACCCAGCAAGAGCCACCCGGCAGAACAACGCCCAUGGAUAAAACAGUCAUUGAGUAUGAAUAUGAUCUCAGAGACUUGGACCACCUGCGGCAGGGGCAUGUGGACACAGAGGAGGCCCCAGAGGAGGAGCCAUCCACCACACUCGUUGAUUGGGACCCUCAGACUGGCAAGCUGUGUAUACCGUCAUUACCCAGCUUUCAACAUGACCCAGAGGGAUGUGGACAUCCUGAAUCUGAGGGGCUCGGGGAGGAGGGCCUCUUAUCUAGACUCUAUCAGGAUCGGGCUCCAGACAAGGCACCGGAAGAAAAUGGAGCCUAUCUCAUGCAAUUCAAGGAAGAAUGGGGAUUAUAUGUACAAAUGGAAGACUAA